GUGAGUAACACGUGGAUAACCUACCUAUAAGACUGGGAUAACUUCGGGAAACCGGAGCUAAUACCGGAUAAUAUUUUGAACCGCAUGGUUCAAAAGUGAAAGACGGUCUUGCUGUCACUUAUAGAUGGAUCCGCGCUGCAUUAGCUAGUUGGUAAGGUAACGGCUUACCAAGGCAACGAUGCAUAGCCGACCUGAGAGGGUGAUCGGCCACACUGGAACUGAGACACGGUCCAG
rnacentral:rRNA from 1 species